rnacentral:rRNA from 1 species
CCCUUAGAUGUCCUGGGCUGCACGCGCGCUACACUGAUGUGUCCAGUAAGCACCUAACCUAUUCCGAGAGGAGCGGGUAAUCUUAGCAAAGCACAUCGUGAUGGGGAUAGAUUAUUGCAAUUAUUAGUCUUGAACGAGGAAUUCCUAGUAAGCACAAGUCAUCAGCUUGUGUUGAUUACGUCCCUGCCCUUUGUACACACCGCCCGUCGCUCCUACCGAUUGAAUGUUCCGGUGAGCUCUUCGGACUGCGCGGUCUGCAGUUUCUGCGUUCCGUGCGGAAAGUUGUGCAAACCUUAACAUUUAGAGGAAGGAGAAGUCGUAACA